ACGGGAGGCAGCAGUGGGGAAUAUUGCACAAUGGGGGAAACCCUGAUGCAGCGACGCCGCGUGAGUGAAGAAGUAUUUCGGUAUGUAAAGCUCUAUCAGCAGGGAAGAUAAUGACGGUACCUGACUAAGAAGCCCCGGCUAACUACGUGCCAGCAGCCGCGGUACUACGUAGGGGGCAAGCGUUAUCCGGAUUUACUGGGUGUAAAGGGAGCGUAGACGGUUUGGCAAGUCUGAAGUGAAAGCCCGGGGCUCAACCCCGGUAUUGCUUUGGAAACUGUUGAACUAGAGUGCCGGAGGGGUAAGCGGAAUUCCUAGUGUAGCGGUGAAAUGCGUAGAUAUUAGGAGGAACACCAGUGGCGAAGGCGGCUUACUGGACGGUAACUGACGUUGAGGCUCGAAAGCGUGGGGAGCAAACAGGAUUAGAUACCCUGGUA
rnacentral:rRNA from 1 species